AUGCGUUUACUGUGUUCUAAGACUUUUUUGAUGUGUCUGUCUCCUUCCCUGCCUACCUACCUGCCUACCUGUCAUCUAUUUAUCCAUCUUUGCCAUUCCUUGAGAACUAAAACUCUGCCUGAGUUUUUUUUUUUUAACGUUUAUUCAUUUUUGAGAGAGAAAGAAAGCACACAUGCGAGCAGGGGAGGGGCAGAGAGAGGGAGAGAGAAUCCCAAGCAGGCUCCUCACUGUCGGCACAGAGCCUGACGCGGGGCUUGAGCUCACGAACCAUGAGAUCUUGACCUGAGCUGAAAUGGAGAGUCAGAUGCUUAAGUGAUUGAACCAUCCACAUGCCUCCUCCACGUGAGUUUUGAACCUUUAAGACCAGAACUCAGUCCACUGAGUUAUCAUAUUCAUCAAAUUUUAAUGAUGGUUAUAUAUUCUCAAAAAAGAAUUAAAAGUGUUACUUUCUGUGUAGUGUGCUCUUCUCACUACAGAGUAUUGUUUCUUUUAUUUCUAACUUAUAUGUAUUUAUAAGGAAGUAACCAUGCUGAUAAAAUAGUGAUAAUUAAGAAAUUUGAUUUUCUUGGACUAUUAUUUAGCUCACUAAAGAAAAGGAGAAUUACAGAAGGAAUUUUAUGAAUCCUAUCUUCAUGAGUCAGGGCUUUUGCAAUGCUAGGGCUUUUCAGCUUCAAUUUCUCUCUUGCAAGGUUAAAAGAAUCAUUCUUGUGUUAGCGCACCAAUACUGUGUUUGAUCAUCCUGUCUUGCUUAUAACAUAGCCUCUGUGACUUACGGAACAUUGGAUUUGCUAUAGUAGAUCAGUCUGAAUUUGUCUCUGCAUGGGGUGAAUAGACUGAAUUGGCCUCAAAGUUCCACUACAGAUCCUUCGUCCAGUCUUCCAGUUUGAAUUGGAAAUUACAAAUCCUUCGUCCAGUCUUUGAGUUUGAACUGGAAACAUCUUUCAAGCAGCUCAUAAGUUGUUUCGCGUUUCAGCCAGUUGUCACAGCCACAACCAGCAAAGGAGCAAGUUCUGGUAGAGACUUGUCUGUGAAGGAGGCCAGGUUUGUGUUAUAUCUAGGUGAGUUUUGAAAACUUAGGUUUUGUUUUUUCUUCAAGUAAACUUUGAUCCCAUUUAUUUAGAAGCCAGAUACGUUCCAAGAAACUAAAAUAGCUUAAGUCCUUUUUUUAUUGCAUAGGGAAGACUUUUAUGCUUUUAAAACUUGAAUCAGUACUUUUUUUUUUUUUUUAACUUUAUACACAGUUUUCAUGAGUUUUCUUGUAUGUUGUUAUAGUCAAGAUUGAAGAUAGGAAUUCGGAGGUGGGGGUGAGUAGUGGUAGGAGCACUGAGAAAUGAGCGGGGCAUCAUACCUGGAAGAGAAGAAGGGACUAGACUGGUCCAGGGGCAUUUGGGGGGGGGGGGUGGUAACGAUCCCUGAGUCAGUAAUAACUUCUGAGGGUAUCAUAACAUUAUGUUAUAGUAAGAAAAUUAGUGUUAGAAAUUACAAAUUUUUGAAAAAGGGUUAUGUUUUAUAUAUUUUGUUAAAGAAAUCAGGGACUAUAUUGGGGCAAUCAUCAAAGUUACUAAAACUUUAACCUAAUUUUUAAAAUGAUACGAGCAAACAUUUGUCACCUAUUUGAAUUGCCUCCUUCACUGAUUGUGCUGCAUAAUUCAGAGAUUACCACUUACACUUUACUUGGUAAAUGUUCAUCGUGUGCGAGAAGUGACAUGGGGACUUCUCCACUCUGUGGUCCCAUGGUUUCAGGUCUGUCUCUCUACCUGCAACCAAACUUUACGUUGUAGGCCUGUCUUCAAGACGUUCACGUUUAGCGCCUUUUUCUCCUGUGGGAACCUGCUACCUGCUGUCACUCAAAUGCAUUUGUGGAAAAAGAGCGAAUCAUAGAACAUUUGGGGAAACAUCCGAAGGGUCCGUGGGCUGGGAAAACUUACCUUCUUAAGAUGAAAACAUGGGGACUGAUUCAAGAGUGUCUUUUGGGAAUAGUUCAUUCCCUCUUGGGCUGCGUAAAUGCUAUUCCUCUCUGUGAAGUGUAGGAAUUAACCUAUUAAUUCUUACUGUUGAUGCCGCCUUUCUAACUGUGGUGCUGGAAGUGUCUGAGAACCACCACCCUGCCUGUUAGAGGGCGGACCUCUGCCCACAGAGCGUACCUUCCACCCAUUCGUAAAGCAUAUCUGUAAGUGACGGGCUUGCUCUGCUCUCUGUAUUUAAGAACUCUUGGGAUGGGAAAAAGGAGCUUUCCCACAUUUUAAAUUUGUAAUAAAGGCGUUGAAAAGCCUUGUGUCUUUGUAAAG
rnacentral:lncRNA from 1 species